GGAUACUGGGAAGAAAAGAUAAUGAGUGUAGAAAUGAUGAGAAAUAACAGUAAGAAAUUAGUAUUAUUUUUCAUUACAAUCGAAACUUCUAACAAUAUUCAGUGUAAAGGCUUACUAUUUUUGACAGUUUUUCUGAUCUAAACCAAUCAGUCAUGAAUUGCAUCUUGCCAUGAGUUCCAAACUGCAUAUUGCACAUUUCCAGUGGCAUUAAGGCUUUGCUUUUAAAAACCAAAUGAUAUCACCUAGAAAAUACUAUCACUAAAACAUUCCUUGUUAGAAGCUAUGAGAUACCUGACAUCUUUGUACUGAUGGAUAUAUAUUUUGUGAAAUUGCUGUGGAUCAAGAUCAUCAUCCAUAGAAGACAUAUCGGCAAUCAUCUCCAAGGCAACAAAGCGGGGCAGGAUAGACAGCACCAAACGCUCCUGAGGAGGAAACAAAAGCUGACCUCAGUCUCUAGUUUCAUGCGGCCUUCAAUGCAGCGGCGUGUCUCAAGAAAGGCUUGUCUUUGGGACCGAUCAGUCAGAAUGCAACAAAAGAAAGUCAUGGGCAAAAUACCUACACAAUCUAUAUUCCAACUUUGCGAUGAAGGAGAGAAGAGAGAAGAACACGUUUUUCUGAUUCAUUGAGCUGAGAAGUGAUCAACAGAUUGCCACGCCGAAAGCGAGAAGGGAGCUCAAGUUGCGCAAAUUGGAUUACUUACUCAGCACUCAUGCCCU